rnacentral:rRNA from 1 species
CGAUACGUAGUGUGAAUUGCAGAAUUCCGCGAAUCAUCGAGUCUUUGAACGCAAGUUGCGCCCGAGGCUUGUCCAAGGGCAUUUCCGCUAGAGCGUC